GGAGGUUGUGCCCUUGAGGCGUGGCUUCCGGAGCUAACGCGUUAAAUCGACCGCCUGGGGAGUACGGCCGCAAGGUUAAAACUCAAAUGAAUUGACGGGGGCCCGCACAAGCGGUGGAGCAUGUGGUUUAAUUCGAUGCAACGCGAAGAACCUUACCUACUCUUGACAUCCAGAGAACUUAGCAGAGAUGCUUUGGUGCCUUCGGGAACUCUGAGACAGGUGCUGCAUGGCUGUCGUCAGCUCGUGUUGUGAAAUGUUGGGUUAAGUCCCGCAACGAGCGCAACCCUUAUCCUUUGUUGCCAGCGGUUCGGCCGGGAACUCAAAGGAGACUGCCAGUGAUAAACUGGAGGAAGGUGGGGAUGACGUCAAGUCAUCAUGGCCCUUACGAGUAGGGCUACACACGUGCUACAAUGGCGUAUACAAAGAGAAGCGACCUCGCGAGAGCAAGCGGACCUCAUAAAGUACGUCGUAGUCCGGAUUGGAGUCUGCAACUCGACUCCAUGAAGUCGGAAUCGCUAGUAAUCGUAGAUCAGAAUGCUACGGUGAAUACGUUCCCGGGCCUUGUACACACCGCCCGUCACACCAUGGGAGUGGGUUGCAAAAGAAGUAGGUAGCUUAACCUUCGGGAGGGCGCUUACCACUUUGUGAUUCAUGACUGGGGUGAAGUCGUAACAAGGUAACCGUAGGGGAACCUGCGGUUG
rnacentral:rRNA from 1 species